CUCAUGGUAAACCAGGAAGUCAUAGUAAACCGCCCGCUAAAGUAGAUUGGGGCAUGCCGACAAAAACAAAAAAAUAUGGCAUUGUGUACUGACGAACAACACAGCAAUCUCAGAACUUCCGUAGACCUGUUUUUCACUUACGUUUAUCAUUACGCCUGUGUGGUGUUCUGUGCUCAUUAAAAACGAGCGAAAAUGAGUCAUCUUUCACCGUGCUACCUACCAGAGAUUUCAGAUUGACAGAUUUCAGCUGUCAGUGGUUUGCGGCUAUCGAGAAUGAUGGCGCGCAUUACGGUGACCAAAGAUUAUCAGAGGGGUUUUCAGGCUGAACUGUUGGGGAAUCCAUUUCGACGACAGCUGAGAAGUGAUGCGAUACCAUCGAUUUUGUAUUUUUUAUUUCCUUCACAACAAAAUGGAAGAUUCUCGAUAAGAGGUGGUACAGAAUCGGCUUCCAACCCCAACUCUGCAGGUGAAGGCAAGUUGG